rnacentral:rRNA from 1 species
GAUGAACGCUGGCGGCGUGCCUAAUACAUGCAAGUCGAGCGAACGGACGAGAAGCUUGCUUCUCUGAUGUUAGCGGCGGACGGGUGAGUAACACGUGGAUAACCUACCUAUAAGACUGGGAUAACUUCGGGAAACCGGAGCUAAUACCGGAUGAUAUUUUGAACCGCAUGGUUCAAAAGUGAAAGACGGUCUUUCUGUCACUUAUAGAUGGAUCAGCGCUGCAUUAGCUAGUUGGUAAGGUAACGGCUUACCAAGGCAACGAUGCAUAGCCGACCUGAGAGGGUGAUCGGCCAAACUGGAAGUGAGACACGGUGCAGACGCCUACGGGAGGCAGCAGUAGGGAAUAUUACGCAAAGGGCGAAAGCAUGACGGAGCAACGCCGCGUGAGUGAUGAAGGUCUUCGGAUCGUAAAACUCUGUUAUUAGGGAAGAACAUAUGUGUAAGUAACUGUGCACAUCUUGACGGUAACUAAUCAGAAAGCAACGGCUAACUACGUG